CUGGCGGCGUGCUUAACACAUGCAAGUCGAACGGGAAUUACUUUAUUGAAACUUCGGUCGAUUUAAUUUAAUCCAGUGGCGGACGGGUGAGUAACGCGUAGACAACCUGCCGCAAAGAUGGGGACAACAGUCCGAAAGGACUGCUAAUACCGAAUGUUGUAUCUCCUCCGCAUGAAAGAGAUAUUAAAGAUGGCCUCUACUUGUAAGCUAUCGCUUUGCGAUGGGUCUGCGUUUCUGAUUAGCUAGUUGGUGGGGCAACGGCCUACCAAGGCGACGAUCAGUAGCCGGUCUGAGAGGGUGAUCGGCCACAUUGGGACUGAGACACGGCCCAGACUCCUACGGGAGGCAGCAGUGGGGAAUCUUCCGCAAUGGGCGAAAGCCUGACGGAGCAACGCCGCGUGAGUGAAGAAGGUCUUCGGAUCGUAAAGCUCUGUUGUCGGGGGACGAAUGUUGAGGCCUAGAACAUAGGUUUCAAAUGACGGUACCUGACGAGGAAGCCACGGCUAACUACGUG
rnacentral:rRNA from 1 species